UUAAUCCACAACAAUGGCCUCAUACAUCCACAUACUCAUCUAUAAAUACCUUCACACCCUUCUCGACACCCUCCCAUUCGACAUCCUCUUCGCUGUUCGAAACUCGUAGCCGGAGAUACCGAGACUUCGCCGGGAAAGACGACAGUCGCCGGAGAAGACGAUCUCACCUUUGCCGGAACAGCCGUACCUCGCCGGAGAUCGGAGAAGACGACCGGAAAAACCUGCGACUUUUCUUUUACGUUCGUUGCUUCUGUUCCCGUUCGUAUGGUUUUUCUUUUUAAAGAAGAUCACGUCGGAACACCGGAGGCGUCGCCGGAACUCGAAUUCUCGCCGAAGUCGUUACGUCGGAACUCACGGCAUCCUUUUGUUCGGAUAACCUCUCUUGUUCGAUCACUUGGAUUAUUCUCCAUCUUUACUCGUGCGUUAAUACAAGAAGCGUAACGCAACCAAUGU